CAGGAGAACUACCAGGAGGACUACCAGGUGAACUACCUGGUGGACUACCAGGUGGACUACCAGGAGAACUACCAGGAGGACUACCAGGUGAACUACCUGGUGGACUACCAGGUGGACUACCAGGAGAACUACCAGGAGAACUACCAGGUGGACUAUCAGGAGAACUACUAGGUGGACUACCAGGAGAACUACCAGGAGGACUACCAGGUGGACUACCAGGAGAACUACCAGGAUAACUACCAGGUGGACUACCAGGAGAACUACCAGGUGUACUACCAGGUGGACUAUAAGGUGGACUACCAGGAGAACUAUCAGGUGGACUACCAGGUGGACUACCAGGAGAACUACCAGGGGAACUACCAGGUGGACUACCAGGAGAACUACCAGGUGGACUACCAGAAGAACUACCAGGUGGACUACCAGGAGAACCACCAGGAGAACUACCAGGUGGACUAUCAGGAGAACUACCAGGUGAACUACCAUCUGUGACGAUAUCAAAAUGCUCUAAUAAACCCUAGAACACAUUCAAAUUGUUGUAAAGAAAGAGAGAGAGAAAGAGAGACAAAGAAAGAGAGAAAAAGAGAGACAAAGAAAGAGAGAGAAAGAGAGAGAGAAAGAGAGACAAAGAAAGAGAGAGAGACAAAGAAAGAGAGAGAGACAAAGAAAGAGAGAGAGACAGAGAAAGAGAGAGAGACAGACAAAGAGAGAGAGAGACAGACAAAGAGAGAGAGA
ensembl:lncRNA